UUAUGUCCCAAAGUGGGAAUUGGGGUUGGAAUCUGGGGGGAAAGUUCGGGGAGGGCAGGGUCAGGCAGGAGGAGUGUGGAGCAGGAGGGAGAGCUGCGGGGCUAGGCCCAGGGUGGGGGCGUCCCAGGUCCAAGUUCCUCCCCAGCCACGCGCAGCCCUCAGCACCUAUGUCCUCAGCUGUAAAAUGGUUGGAAUCAGAGCUGCUUCUCAGGAAUGACCUGUUCUCAGGGACCCCUGAUGAGGUGCAGGGCAGGCCUGGCGCUACUGGGCAGCCCCUGGAGGGUGUGGUGUGAACACCUGAGCAACCAGCUGAGGAAGCACAGGGUAUUCACAGGUGUUGCUGGUCUGCACUGAGAAGUAAGAAUAUGGGAAUUCCCUGGCAGUCUAGUGGUUAGGACUCGACGCUUUCACUGUCAAGGGUGAGGGUUCGAUCGAUCCCUGGUUGGGGAACUAAGAUCCCACAAGCAGCACACUGCAGCCAAAAGAAAAAAAAAAAAAAAGAAAAGAAAGAAUGUGCAUGAUUGAUUUACUGGGGAAAAAUGCUUAUUUGUAUAAUUAGAUCACCUGGGCUUUGCAGGUCACCGUCAGCCAAGAACCACGUGUUGAUUUCUGCCAUAAAACACCAACAUCUGGGCAUGUGGCCCAGUGGGCAGCAAUGGGCCUUCAGUCCAGCUGAUACUGAGUGACUGGGGGCCAGGGUUGUGGGGGUCGAACCUUUCUGGGCCUCAGUAUCCUCAUCAGGAGAGCAGAAAUGGUAAUAUACCCACUUCAUGGGUUCCUCAAUGAGUAUUAAAUGAGUAAAUGCCACAAACAGCUUGCAACAGUGCUGGGCUCACGUCACCUGCCAAAACAAGUGAGCCUGCCGUUCGCAGGUCCCGACCAGGUCCUGGGCUCUGUGCUGGACCAGUGGACAGAGGCUGCCCUGCCCUGCAAGUCACAGAGGCACCUCUUGCCUGGCUAUUUCUAUCCUGGCCUGUGUCAGUGCCCUGCUCUGUGUUCACAGAUCAUCUGUCCUUUCCCCACUCCCAAAACCUUGCCCAGGAAGUCAGGGCUCUUUGUCACACUGCCUCCAGGCACCAGGAACAGCGCCGGGCACAAGGAAGUGCUUGGUAAAUACUGGUUAAUUGAACCUAUGUACUGGAGUGGAAGGUAAACCUCAAACAUGAACUUGCAGAUACAGGCAGACCUUGUUUUAUUGCACUUCGCUGAUACUGUGUGUUUUACACAUUGAAAGUUUAUGGCAACCCUGAGUCGAUUUCAAGUCUUUUGGUGCCAUUUUUCCAACAUCAUUUGCUCACUGCAUGUCGCUGUCACGUUGUGGUAAUUUCAAACUUUUUCAUUAUUAUUAUGUUUGUUAGGAGGAUCUGUGAUCAGUGAUCUUUGAUGUUACUACUGUGACUCGCUGAAGGCUCAGAUGAUGGUUAGCAAUUUUGAGCAAUAAAGUGUUUUUUUAAAUUAAGCAUCCGCAGGUGACGGCUAACCCCUGUGCACCCUGGAAACGACGGACCCCGAUCUCUGACCGUGCCCUACUCCUUGGGGUCCUGCAUAUGCUGGAUGCCCUCCUGGUCCAUAUUGAGGGCCAUCUGCAGCGUCUAGCCACCCAGCAGCGAACCCAAAUAAAGGGGACUCCUGCCCAGAGCGGGUGACCCAACAUACUCCUGUCUUUGC